CCAGAGAACUUUCCAGAGAUGGAUUGGUGCCUUCGGGAACUCUGAGACAGGUGCUGCAUGGCUGUCGUCAGCUCGUGUUGUGAAAUGUUGGGUUAAGUCCCGCAACGAGCGCAACCCUUAUCCUUUGUUGCCAGCGGUUAGGCCGGGAACUCAAAGGAGACUGCCAGUGAUAAACUGGAGGAAGGUGGGGAUGACGUCAAGUCAUCAUGGCCCCUACGAGUAGGGCUACACACGUGCUACAAUGGCGCAUACAAAGAGAAGCGACCUCGCGAGAGCAAGCGGACCUCAUAAAGUGCGUCGUAGUCCGGAUUGGAGUCUGCAACUCGACUCCAUGAAGUCGGAAUCGCUAGUAAUCGUGGAUCAGAAUGCCACGGUGAAUACGUUCCCGGGCCUUGUACACACCGCCCGUCACACCAUGGGAGUGGGUUGCAAAAGAAGUAGGUAGCUUAACCUUCGGGAGGGCGCUUACCACUUUGUGAUUCAUGACUGGGGUGAAGUCGUAACAAGGUAAGCGUAGUGCU
rnacentral:rRNA from 1 species